rnacentral:rRNA from 1 species
GUAUUCGGGUUCCGGGGGGAGUAUGGUCGCAAGGCCGAAACUUAAGGAAUUGACGGAAGGGCACCACCAGGAGUGGAAUCUGCGGCUUAAUUUGACAACGCGGGAAAACUCACCAGGUCAGGACACGGUAAGGAUUGACGGACUGAAGGCUCUUUCUCGAUUCCGUGGAAAGUGGUGCAUGGCCGUUUUUGGUUGGUGGAUCGAUCCGUCUGGUUAAUUCCGUUAACGAACGAGACCUCGGCACUCCGAAUAGCGCGGCGGACGUCGCGGCCUCCGGGCCGUCUUCCGCACGAGCUUCUUAGAGGGACCGUCCCCCGCCGGGGAAGGAGGUGCGAGGCAACGACAGGUCUGUGAUGCCCUUAGAUGUUCUGGGCCGCACGCGCAUUACACUGACGCGUCCAACGGGUGACUCCCGACCCGAAGGGGCCGGGGAAUCCGCAAGGCGCGUCGUGAUGGGGAUUGAACGUUGCAAUUGUUGUUCACGAACGAG